UUGCGUAGGUGGCGAAGUAAGUUGGUAGUGAAAGCGUUCGGCUCAACCGGAUAAACAUUACCAAAACUGCUUUAGCUAGAGGAUGAGAGAGGUUAUUGGAAUUCCCUGUGUAGGAGUGAAAUCCGUAGAUAUAGGGAGGAACACCGAUGGCGUAGGCAGAUAACUGGCUCAUUCCUGACACUAAGGCACGAAAGCGUGGGGAGCAAACGG
rnacentral:rRNA from 1 species